UCAACCGUCUUCCUUGUUAGUAAAGUAACGUUAGCUUAGCUUCUGUUGUUUGCAGCGCUGUUGAUGUUGACGUUAACGGCUGCCGCUGGAUAAGAUCUACCAGACCCCGGUUUAAAACACACACCGUGUCCCAGACUUUCAAACUCUUUGUGUCUAGCUAACUUAGCUACUUACAUAGUA